GCUGGGUGUGGUGGCGUGCGCCUGUAAUCUCAGCUACUCAGGAGGCUGAGGCAGGAGAAUCGCUUGAACCCAGGAGAUGGAGGUUGCAGUGAGCUGAGAUCACGCCAUUGCGCUCCAGCCUGGGUGACAGAGCGAGACUCUGUCUCAA
rnacentral:SRP_RNA from 1 species